CAAGUCGAACGCGAAAGUCCCGAAAGGGGCAAGUAGAGUGGCAAACGGGUGAGUAACGCGUGGGUGACCUGCCUUCGAGCGGGGGAUAACAUUCCGAAAGGAAUGCUAAUACCGCAUAAUAUUCCGCUUUUGAACAGGUGGAAAUCAAAGCUGGGGAUCGCAAGACCCGGCACUUGAAGAGGGGCCCGCGUCUGAUUAGCUAGUUGGUGGGGUAAUGGCCUACCAAGGCGACGAUCAGUAUCCGGCCUGAGAGGGCGGACGGACACACUGGGACUGAGACACGGCCCAGACUCCUACGGGAGGCAGCAGUGGGGAAUUGUUCGCAAUGGGCGCAAGCCUGACGACGCAACGCCGCGUGGAGGAUGAAGACUUUCGGGUCGUAAACUCCUGUCGAAUGGGACGAACAGAUUGCGGGUUAACAGCCUGUAAUCCUGACGGUACCGUUAAAGGAAGCCCCGGCUAACUCCGUGCCAGCAGCCGCGGUAAUACGGGGGGGGCAAGCGUUGUUCGGAAUUACUGGGCGUAAAGGGCUCGUAGGCGGCCAACUAAGUCGGACGUGAAAUCCCUCAGCUUAACUGGGGAACUGCGUCCGAUACUGGAUGGCUUGGAUUCGGGAGAGGGAUGCGGAAUUCCAGGUGUAGCGGUGAAAUGCGUAGAUAUCUGGAGGAACACCGGUGGCGAAGGCGGCAUCCUGGACCGAUAUUGACGCUGAGGAGCGAAAGCCAGGGGAGCAAACGGGAUUAGAUACCCCGGUAGUCCUGGCCCUAAACGAUGAAUGCUUGGUGUGGCGGGUAUCGAUCCCUGCCGUGCCGAAGCUAACGCAUUAAGCAU
rnacentral:rRNA from 1 species